rnacentral:sRNA from 1 species
GCUGGGUGCGGUGGUGCACACCUGUAAUCCCAGGGGCUGGGGAGGCUGAGGCAGGAGGAUUGCUAGUUCAAUGCCAGCUUCAGCAAAAGCAAGGUGCUAAGCAACUCAUUGAGACCUUAUCUCUA